rnacentral:ncRNA from 1 species
GGUCGCCCGCUCCCUGGGGGCUCGGACGAGGCUGCCGUACCCGAUCAGCGCAAAGACGGCAGGUC